CAUAGUAAAAAAAAAAUCUUUGUACUAGGAAAUAUUUAAAUUAAACUAAUCAAGUCUGCUAGGUUUCUUAAAAUUUUAAACAAUGUAAAAAUAGUCAUUAAUUUUGAAAAACAAAAUUAAGAAAACAUAAUUUCAAUAAUUAUAAAUUUGUAACGAUUCCUUUAUUUUGAAAAGUUAAUUACGUGAAGUUAAUGGAAGUGUUAACUUAAAAGAAAAACAAAAUCUAUUUCUUUAGCCCUAACCGAUUUACUAAAAUCAUGGGAUCCAGUGAAAAAUAAGAGUUUAAUUAGUCAACUCCAACGAUUAAUUAAGAAGCUUCUCAUUCGCAAAAAUUUUGAGAAAGAUUAAUUAGUCACAUUUUGAAGUCUUAGGGUUGCAUAGUUCGUGAGAUUGAACCCAUCUAUCCACCUGAAAAUCAGAUUCAUGAGUUUGCCAUAUUUGGAAUUUUGAGGAGUAAAGGAAGAUGAUGUAUUUGGAUGUGGAUAUCCAAUAAGUGUUCGAAAACAUAGAUCAUCUAUUAAUUUGACAUGGAAGAUGGGUACUUCUACGCUAUAUAUGAUGGAUUGCUUCUGUGAGAAAACAUGGAGCCACUCACUACUCCAGUUCAAGCUCGGAUAUUGCCAACAAUGCCCUGAUACUCGGGUCAAAUGGCGGUGCCAUCGAUGAAUGUGAUGGUUGCCAUAAGGCCUACAGUUACGCUGGAGAAUGUGGUUUUAGGACUUGUUUGGCUUGCAAUGAGAAAGGUCUCAUCAAAUGCCAUUUCUGCUCUAGGGUUUCCCUGCAAAAGCCAAUUGAAGGAGGUCUGAGCGCCGCCGCGCCGGAGAUGGUAGGGGUGCCGUACGACAAAAAAAAAUUACCAAUUGGUGCUCUGUUAAUUUGGUAACUUGAAGUAUUUAUUAUUAUUAUUAUUAUUAAUAGUCAAUUAUUUAUUCUUAUAAUUCAACAUUUUAAUUUAUAUUUAUUAAUUAUUUAAUUUUAAUUAUUUCUCAUGUUUUAUAUAUUUAUAAUUUUACUUUUCAUUCCUACAAUAUUUAUUUAUUAUUUUUGUAAAAUUUCUUUUUCAGAAUAUUUUUUAUUUAUUAUUUUAUGCAAAUUUUAUAUU